rnacentral:rRNA from 1 species
AUUGAACGCUGGCGGCAUGCCUUACACAUGCAAGUCGAACGGUAACAGGUCUUCGGAUGCUGACGAGUGGCGAACGGGUGAGUAAUACAUCGGAACGUGCCCGAUCGUGGGGGAUAACGAAGCGAAAGCUUUGCUAAUACCGCAUACGAUCUACGGAUGAAAGCAGGGGACCGCAAGGCCUUGCGCGAACGGAGCGGCCGAUGGCAGAUUAGGUAGUUGGUGGGAUAAAAGCUUACCAAGCCGACGAUCUGUAGCUGGUCUGAGAGGACGACCAGCCACACUGGGACUGAGACACGGCCCAGACUCCUACGGGAGGCAGCAGUGGGGAAUUUUGGACAAUGGGCGAAAGCCUGAUCCAGCCAUGCCGCAUGCAGGAUGAAGGCCUUCGGGUUGUAAACUGCUUUUGUACGGAACGAAAAGACUCUGGUUAAUACCUGGGGUCCAUGACGGUACCGUAAGAAUAAGCACCGGCUAACUACGUG